rnacentral:ncRNA from 2 species
AAUAAUUAAUUUUAAAUAAGUGCUCACAUUGUGUGAGGUAAAAGGGAAACUAGUGAAAGUCUAGUACAGCCCCCGCUACUGUAAGAGCUGAUGAAAUUACAAUACCACUGAGAAAUCGGGAAGGUGUAAGAGUAAAAAGAAGCUUAAGUCAGGAAACCUGCUUAUUUAAACGACACUUA